AGGAGGCAGCCAACCCACCCCCUCUCCCUCUAUAUAAAGGGGCUUGGCAGCCCACUCCCUCCUCACUUGCUCUCAUUUCCCACUCUCCACUCCUCUCCACUCCUCUCCUUUGCCUCAUUUCUUUUCACUCCCUACUAUUUCCUCCACUCCCUCACACUCUCCUCCUCCACUUCCCCACGAAAAUGGUGCUCCCCUUGCUCCCAUGGCCGGCCAUAGCCAUGGCAAGCCACCAAGAUGAAGCUCUCCCCCUCCCUCAAGCUCAUCCUCACCAUGAGAGCCUCCCCCUCCAUCUUCUCCCCAACCUUAGAUGGUUUAAUAUCCUCUUCUUCUCCCUCCAUUGCUAAGAUUGGAUCUUGAUGCAGGUGUAUGUUGGUCCAAGCAUGUAGAAGGUUGAGCUAUCCUCAGAUCUGAAGUUCUUGAGCAAAAUCCAAAUCGAGUGGUUCAAAGUUCUGCAGAUAGAUCAAGAUCUGGUCAGAUCUGACUUUGUCGAAUUAAAUCAGGAGCUUGGAAACGAAUUUUUGAAUGAAACCAGUUGGGGGAUAUUUGGUUUAUACCAUGGUGAUAACCGAGAGAGGCAGUUGCUAAGUUGUGACGCACUCAUACCUCUACUAGAUGCGAACAAUUCCGGAGAAGAAGAAGAAGUGGUUCGGACAAGGAUUUUAUUUAUAUUGAUAGGAUUCUUAUAUUGAUGGAGUUGAAGAAGUACAGGGACAAAUAAGCCAAGGCAAGCCAUCUUUUGAUCUCUGAUCCGGUGUCUAGUUGGAUGUCAUUUGUUGAUGUUCAAAGCACCUUCAUUCUAUGUGUGUUAUUAUCUCUAUUUAUGUCAUCUAUGUGUGAUUGCAAGUGGGGUACUCCCUAGUGGUGAUGCUCCACUAUUGUCCUUGUGUUAUGGGAUGCAUGGUAACAUGGCCGUGCUAUUCCACUUGGUGAUCUUGUAUGCUCAACUUGAGCAUGUUCCAUCUCAAGAUAUUAACUUACACCACACCCACCCCCUUUGUAGUAUAGAGGUAUCAAUGUCAUGAUCUUGGUGUAUUCUCAACUUGAGAGGAGUAUGCCGUGUACCACCUUGGAGAAUAUGUUGGAUAGUGACACUCCACUAUCUAAGUUGUGUAGUUAGCACCACAAAUCUGAGAGUAUAUUCCUCCUUGUGUUGUCAUAAUACAUGCUUACCUUAAGCAAGUAUGAUCCACUCCACUACCCCUUUAUACCUCAUCUAUGGCGGUAUGACUCUCAUCUCGGCCGUAGUGCAAUACUAGUUCAACUCAUGAAACUAUAGGUUGGGAAUCCCUCAAGGUUUUCCUUGUUGUAAAUGUUUAUGAAAACCUUGGGUGAGGCAAUCUUACCCAAGCGUAUGGUUUAUGAAAGGAAAGGAUCUUGACAAAGAUGGUUGGAAAGAGGAAAUGUGUGUGUGACUUGGGUUUUUGAGAAAAACGACACAUGGUUCUCUGUAUUCGCCCGGAACAAUUAACCCGCGCAACCACACUACUCCAACGUGGGCACGGGGCUUAGCUUGACGUUUGUUCUUCUUAGCAUGAGGCACCGCACAACUAUACAAGGGUACGGUUACCCCCGAGUCCGGGUUGUCGUAGUUGGAGACAAUCGUAUAACGGGAGGCCUUCGGGGCUGACCCGUCCGGAAGACAAUAUGGGUCUCCUGGCUUGGCGGUGGAGCCACGCUCGAAGGGAGGUGAGCUGCCACGGUGCCGGGGAGGUACAUACUCCAUAGGGUAGGACCUCUUGCUAAGUUGAAUAGGCGAAAGGCUUCGACUGAUUAUCCGAGACUCGCAUACUUUCGUAUGACGAACCGGGGAUGAUCCCGGCGGAUUUAUCAGAUCUUGUGGGGAAAGUGCGCACACUCUGCAGAGUUAAAACUAUUCGAAUAGCCGCGUCCGCGGUCAUGGACGGUUGGGAUGGCCGUUACCGAGCUGUGUCGAGUUUUGGUUUAGAAAAUGAUUUCCAAAGGAAAUGUGUGUGUUGGAUGUACCAGAAGGGUACGGAAAGGCUGGUGCCGACCAUAUGGAGAUGGUCGAGGAUAAUGAAACAAAAUUGGGUGACCCUUCCUAUUGUUUCAUGUAGAGGGACUCUUCUUCAAUAAAGAUAUAGAGAUGUCGUAGUUUAUCUUUUGAAGUAUCUUCUUCAACAAAGAUAUAGAGAUGUCGUAGUUUAUCUUUUGAAGUAUCUUCUUCAACAAAGAUAUAGAGAUGUCA